GGUGGCUCAUUGGUAGAGCGCUGGCCUUGCAUGCCAAAGGCCCUGGGUUCGAUUCCUCAGCACCA
rnacentral:tRNA from 1 species